UGGUUGUAUUUCUUUUUUGUUAUAAUUACACAAAAUGUUUUUAUUUGGUUAUUUGUAUUGUUACUUACCUGACUGAAACAUCUCUAGAAAUUCUGUCACUGUUUUAACCGUGUUACUUUAAGAAUGGAAGCUCCUCCUUUUCGGUUCUUCUUUUGUGGUAUUGUCUUUAAAUAGUUUGCACCCCUUAGUCCCUCCCCUUUUGUCAUGUUGUCCUGCGGGAGAGGACUUGGAGCGGGCAGCCUAUAACACGGUUGUAUGUUGUUCUCGUCAGGUACAAUAAAGCAAGAAACCGUCAUUUUAAAGACAAA